rnacentral:rRNA from 1 species
GAUGAACGCUAGCGGCAGGCCUAAUACAUGCAAGUCGAGGGGUAAAUAUGUAGCAAUAUAUAUGAGACCGGCGCACGGGUGCGUAACACGUAUGCAACCUACCUUUUACUGGGGAAUAGCUCAGAGAAAUCUGAAUUAAUACCCCAUAAUAUUAUGAAGUGGCAUCAUUUUAUAAUUAAAGCUCCGGCGGUAAAAGAUGGGCAUGCGGAACAUUAGCUAGUUGGUGAGGUAAUGGCUCACCAAGGCUACGAUGUUUAGGGGGUCUGAGAGGAUGAUCCCCCACACUGGUACUGAGACACGGCCCAGACUCCUACGGGAGGCAGCAGUGGGGAAUAUUGGACAAUGGGCGCAAGCCUGAUCCAGCCACGCCGCGUGAGUGAUGAAGGCCUUGGGUCGUAAAGCUCUGUGGGGAGGGACGAAUGGCGCCGUGAAGAGCGGCGAGUGACGGUACCGUCCUUAGCAAGCACCGGCUAACUUCGUGCCAG